rnacentral:pre_miRNA from 1 species
AGUGAAAUUGCUGGAUCAUUUGAUAAGUUUUUAAUUUUUUGAGAAAUCACCAUACUGUUUUCUAUAAUGGCUAAACCAUUUUAUUCCUAUCAGCUGU